CAGGGGCAAAUCUGCAGUCAGUCCGUCUUCAGUCGCUUCUUUCUUUCCAUCAUGAAGAUCUCGUAUCUGCUCGUGGUACUUUUGUUGGGAUCUUUGUUGGCAUUUGACAUGACAGGCGCUCAUCGUCAUCGCCGAUGUCGUCGCCAUCGUCACAGACGUCACCGUCGUCAUCGACACCAUGGUUGACUUAUAGGUGCAUACUCCAUAUGUAACACCUCACACGUACAUCUCAGUCUUCGUCCGAAAAGAACUCUAAAUAUACAUCGGAUCAAUGUACAUGUACAUAUUCAAUAAAACAUAUCUAAGC
rnacentral:lncRNA from 1 species